CUGCAAUACAUCGUGCAUAAAACCGAUGCAGCAUUGCCACGUUUUUGUAUAUUUUCCAUCACUAACAAGAAUUUCACUAUAUAUGCGAAGGCUAAGGACGCAGCAAAAAAUUCUACUAAAAUGCCAGGAGUACAGUAUAAACAAAAACGUCGAGACACUUGGCUUUGUGAUCCGUUCUUCAAGGAUUGGAUGUCAAUUGAUCCCAAUAACGAUAAUAAGUGUUAUUGCAGAUAUUGCAAAUCCAGUAUAGUUUCAAAGCUGUACGAUUUGCAGGGACAUGCAAAAACCAAGAAGCAUAAGGCGGCAACGAGUUGCUUUACUCAAAAAAAUAAAAUUGUGUUUACAUCAAAUGUGCUUCCUAAAACGAAGCAAAGAAGCAGCCUUAUGUUUGUAUAUUGCAUCCCAUUCUGCUAUUUUACCCAUCGAUCACUUCGAUAUAUUGUGCGCCACAAAAUUUGAUGGCGACAAAGUCAAGGUGAAAAUAGAGAUUCGAUUUAGGUGCACGGAGUUUAUCAUUUCACUUAUAUAUGAGCUUAAACAGAGAUUACCCGAAAACUUCAAAGUUCUUCAGCAAAUCGACAUUUUUUCUGUUUAGAUCAUUUAAAUGUUAGAAAGAGCUUUGUUAUUAAUAUUCUAGAGCAUUUCAAACUGCCUGUCUCUGAGAUUGAACAGGUCGUUCUACAAUAUAACAACAUACAUCUGUUAAAAUGGGAAAAUACGGCUUCCACUGUAAAAUUUUGGGCAGAGGCAAACAAUUAUGUGGAUUCGGGAGGCAAUCACCGAUUUAAAGCGUUAGCAUCUUUCGUUUUUAACGUUAGUCAGAUGUACAUUGUAAAAUCGAAGCCUUUCUGGCUCAAUAAACAUUGACACACUUAAUAUUUUUUAACACAAUAUUAA
rnacentral:sRNA from 1 species